rnacentral:rRNA from 1 species
ACGCUGGCGGUAUGCCUAACACAUGCAAGUCNAACGGAAAGGCCCUGCUUUUGUGGGGUNGCUCGAGUGGCNAACGGGUGAGUAACACGUGAGUAACCUGCCCUUGACUUUGGNAUAACUUCAGGAAACUGGGGCUAAUACCGGAUAGGAGCUCCUGCUGCAUGGUGGGGGUUGNAAAGUUUCGGCGGUUGGGGAUGGACUCCCGGCUUAUNACCUUGUUGGNGGGGUAGUGCUUACCAAGGCUUUGCGGGUACCCGNCCCUGAGAGGGUGACCGGCCACAUUGGGACUGAGAUACGGCCCAGACUCCUACGGGAGGCAGCAGUGGGGAAUAUUGCACAAUGGGCGGAAGCCUGAUGCAGCAACGCCGCGUGCGGGAUGACGGCCUUCGGGUUGUAAACCGCUUUCGCCUGUGACGAAGCGUGAGUGACGGUAAUGGGUAAGGAAGCACCGGCUAACUACGUGCCAGCAGCCGCGGUGAUACGUAGGGUGCGAGCGUUGUCCGGAUUUAUUGGGCGUAAAGGGCUCGUAGGUGGUUGAUCGCGUCGGAAGUGUAAUCUUGGGGCUUAACCCUGAGCGUGCUUUCGAUACGGGUUGACUUGAGGAAGGUAGGGGAGAAUGGAAUUCCUGGUGGAGCGGUGGAAUGCGCAGAUAUCAGGAGGAACACCAGUGGCGAAGGCGGUUCUCUGGGCCUUUCCUGACGCUGAGGAGCGAAAGCGUGGGGAGCGAACAGGCUUAGAUACCCUGGUAGUCCACGCUGUAAACGGUGGGUACUAGGUGUGGGGUCCAUUCCACGGGUUCCGUGCCGUAGCUAACGCUUUAAGUACCCCGCCUGGGGAGAUCGGCCGCAAGGCUAAAACUCAAAGGAAUUGACGGGGCCCGCACAAGCGGCGGAGCAUGCGGAUUAAUUCGAUGCAACGCGUAGAACCUUACCUGGGUUUACAUGGAUCGGGAGUGCUCAGAGAUGGGUGUGCCUCUUUUGGGGUCGGUUCACAGGUGGUGCAUGGCUGUCGUCAGCUUCGUGUCGUGAGAUGUUGGGUUAAGUNCCNCAACGANGCGCAUCCCCNUGUNCCACCUGNGCCCAGCANGUUAUGGUGGGGACUCAGUGGAGACCGCCGGGGUCAACUCGGAGGAAGGUGGGGAUGACGUCAAGUCAUCAUGCCCCUUAUGUCCAGGGCUUCACGCAUGCUACAAUGGCUGGUACAGAGAGUGGCGAGCCUGUGAGGGUGAGCGAAUCUCGGAAAGCCGGUCUCAGUUCGGAUUGGGGUCUGCAACUCGACCUCAUGAAGUCGGAGUCGCUAGUAAUCGCAGAUCAGCAUGCCGCGGUGAAUACGUUCCCGGGCCUUGUACACACCGCCCGUCACACCAUGGGAGUGGAUUGUACCAGAAGCAGCUAGCCUAACCUUCGGGGGGGCGGUUACCACGGUAUGGUUCAUGACUGGGGUGAAGUCGUAACAAGGUAGCCGUAGGGGAACCUGCGGCUGGAUCACCUCCUUU